ensembl:lincRNA Gm44196 predicted gene, 44196
AGAGAACCUGGAAUCUUCUGUUGAGCUGGAGACCAACGAAAUGAUCAGGCAGCAAUUUCUUUGUUCUGGAAAUUAGUUGAGACUAUUUAACAGCCUCGGGGGCCCUCCGCAGCACAGGGAACGAGGAUUCUCAGUGGAUAUUUCCUUUGCUGGAGGAGGAAAUCGUGUUGUGAGGAAAAUGAAACCGAGGAAGGUGUCCAUUUUAUUGGAGGAUGGGAUCUGCCAUUGGCCUGAGAAUCAUGACUUAACCUCACCGGCUUUCCAGCAAGCCCCCGGGAUCCUCAACAAAGGGAUUAUCUACAUAAGCUACCACACCUAACUAAAACAAUAAUCUGGCAUAGCUUCUGAGCAUUUGAACUCAGUUCUUCAUGCAAGUACUUUGUUAACUGAGCCAUCUCCCCUACUUCCCUUUCUGGAAGCAAUUUGUGAGGUUGACUGGCUGGGUAUGAGGUCACUGCCAGGAUGUGACAAUUGAGAAGUAUAUUCACAGGAACACAAAUCAACAGACAAAUUUUGGGUGGGGAAUGGUUUUCCCAGCUUGCAUAAUAGUCUAUCCUGCUUAUCCAUGGGAAUGAUCUUUAGAAAUCUGGGUGUGGCGGGGCAAGAAUGGAUUUAGGAAGGUCGGGUAUUUGGCAAAUACAGUUUGUAGAAUCGCCACCCUCAUCCACCAAGGACUUGUAUUUCUAAGAUACAAAUAGAAGAAGACAGAGGUUCUGGGCUUACAAAAUAGAAUGGACCCAAAGGCUAAUGCUACAAAUCUGUCUGGCAGACCCUAAACAGUCACAUGGUACUUUGCUCAUAGUAUUUGUUUCUCUCUUGCUUCAUGAUAGUAGCAUUUAUUUCUGCAUGGUGAACUUGAUUCUUUAAAUGUCAGCAACUUAAACACAGCACUUGGCUGUGCCACAAAUAACCCCAGCUCUGGGGUGCGUGAGACUUUACCGAAAACGUGAAAAUGCGUUUGUUUGUUUGGAUAACAUGAAGUGUUUUUGUUUCUUCAUUUCUGCUUUAAGUCUGAGGACUCUGGCAUCUACCUCAUCCGCCGUGCAUUUGAGGCUGGUAGCAAUAUUGGGAAAGAAAUAUGAUAAUGACCGCUGCCACCAAGCGCUCUCUUUCUCAGCUCCGGUUUCACAUGUGUUGGUUCAAUGGAAUAUUCAAUAGACAUUUAUAGGAAAUAAAUUGAGAGAUGAAUG